GAUGAACGCUGGCGGCGUGCCUAAUACAUGCAAGUCGAGCGAACAGAUGAUGAGCUUGCUCCUCUGACGUUAGCGGCGGACGGGUGAGUAACACGUGGAUAACCUACCUAUAAUACUGGGAUAACUUCGGGAAACCGGAGCUAAUACCGGAUAAUAUAUUGAACCGCAUGGUUCAAUAGUGAAAGACGGUUUUGCUGUCACUUAUAGAUGGAUCCGCGCCGCAUUAGCUAGUUGGUAAGGUAACGGCUUACCAAGGCAACGAUGCGUAGCCGACCUGAGAGGGUGAUCAGCCACACUGGAACUGAGACACGGUCCAGACUCCUACGGGAGGCAGCAGUAGGGAAUCUUCCGCAAUGGGCGAAAGCCUGACCGAGCAACGCCGCGUGAGUGAUGAAGGUCUUCGGAUCGUAAAACUCUGUUAUUAGGGAAGAACAAAUGUGUAAGAAACUAUGCACGUCUUGACGGUACCUAAUCAGAAAGCCACGGCUAACUACGUG
rnacentral:rRNA from 1 species